rnacentral:rRNA from 1 species
AAUCAACGCUGGCGGCGUGCCUCAGACAUGCAAGUCGAACGAUUAAAGCCCUCUUCGGAGGGUGCAUAAAGUGGCGCACGGGUGAGUAACACGUAAGUAAUCUACCUUCGAGUGGGGAAUAACGUUCGGAAACGAACGCUAAUACCGCAUAAUGCAGCGGCAUCUAUGAUGACAGUUGUUAAAGAUUUAUCGCUUGAAGAGGAGCUUGCGGCAGAUUAGCUAGUUGGUAAGGUAACGGCUUACCAAGGCGACGAUCUGUAUCCGGUCUAAGAGGACGGUCGGACACACUGACACUGAAUAACGGGUCAGACUCCUACGAGAGGCAGCAGUCGGGAAUUUUGGGCAAUGGGCGAAAGCCUGACCCAGCAACGCCGCGUGAAGGAUGAAGUUUUUCGGAAUGUAAACUUCGUAAGAAUAGGAAGAAUAAAUGACGGUACUAUUUGCAAGGUCCGGCUAACUACGUGCCAGCAGCCGCGGUAA